UCUUGGUCAUUUAGAGGAAGUAAAAGUCGUAACAAGGUUUCCGUAGGUGAACCUGCGGAAGGAUCAUUAGUGAUUUGGCUUCGGCCUUUAUCCAAUCCAAACCUCUGUGCUCUGGCCCUCUGUGGCCGUCAAACAUUGUGUAAUAAACGUCAUAUAACAAAACAAAACAAAACUUUCAACAACGGAUCUCUUGGCUCUCGCAUCGAUGAAGAACGCAGCGAAAUGCGAUAAGUAAUGUGAAUUGCAGAAUUCAGUGAAUCAUCGAAUCUUUGAACGCAACUUGCGCCUUUUGGUAUUCCGAAAGGCAUGCCUGUUUGAGUGUCAUGAAAUAUCAACUCCCUCGGGUUUCCGAGUGAGCUUGGAUUUGGGCGCUGCCGUCAUUGGCUCGCCUUAAAGAACUCUGUGGAUGUCUCCCGCGUCAAUGUAAUAAGUUUCAUUGGCAAAGGUCUUUGUCUGCAUACAACCGCCGCAAGGCAAUCUUAUUCUCUGACCUCAAAUCAGGUAGGGCUACCCGCUGAACUUAAGCAUAUCAAUAAGCGGAGGAA
rnacentral:rRNA from 1 species